rnacentral:lncRNA from 1 species
GUCGCAAAGUGCACCUAGGAUAAUGGGAGUUUCGAACGCUGCUCUCAGAAUAAUAAUAAUAAUAAUAAUAAUAAUAUUUACACCCCACACAUGUGGCCGGGUUUCCCCCGCCACUCUUAACAAAUUAUGGUUCCCAGGAUUUUUGAGGGGAGAAGCCAUGACUGUUUAAAGUGGAAAUGAGCACUAAACUUGUGGUAGAUUUUCAGAAGUUACUUUUAUGUUGUCUGAAAUAGCACAUAAAAUAUGGAAAUCGCCAGGUAAGGAAACACUGGAAAAUGGAAUAAAGUGUUGUCUGAAUGCAGCCUGUGUCUACAGAACCAGGCCUACAACUAGGUGGAGUGAGGCUGCCACCUCAGGCAGCAGGUCUUUGGCCUUAACCCCCAAGCCACCCCUCUAUUUCCACUUCUGUUGGAGGAGAGGCCAUAUAUAAUCUGCCCUAAAGAGCAGCAGAGGGUGGAUGCUGUUCCAUUGCCAGUGUUGAAAUCGGGUUCAGCUGCUUCUGUGGGUGGAAUGGGGAGGCGCCAUUUUGCCCUUUGCCUCAGGCAAGCAAACUGUCCCUGCAUUUUUCACCACAUAACUUUUUUUAGUUAUCACCCUUGCUUUGAACCUGUGAUCUGUUGUCCCCCUUCUGUUCUGUUUAAUGUUCUAGCUGGGGGGGGAAUGAAGGUUUGGGGUUUAAUCUCUGAUUUGGAACGGAAUAGGGAGGGUAACUGAUAGGGAAAGGAAGGUUUUGUACAGAGGCACUAAGCCCUCUUUGGAUCUGUAGGACUGGCUGCCUUCGUUACUCUUUGUAAUUCAUGGAAAUUGCCAUGAAAAGACAGAUGGUUUUUAAAAGUUGACUUCUGUCACUGCUUUAUCUGUUGGGGCUCCGUCUCCCUUCUGGAGAGCAGCCUCAGCUGGUUAUAGGCAGCGGUGAUGGAAGCCGUAGCGGUACAAAUUGAGGUUAUUGACACUAUAAGUCUUCACUCUUUUUAUAUCUCUAGAUUUUCUUUUUGGCAUAUUGAUGAUUCAGUCCAGACACAGGUUACAGAAUCUACAUCCGUAUACUGUUUGCUCUGAGGCAAAAUGCCCAAGUGAGCAAUGGGGUUUGUCAAACUGCUUGGUGUGUGUUUUUUAGUUUUUUCCUUAAGAGAUACAAUGCACAGUUGGUAUGUUCAGCAUGCAAAUAGUUGUACAGUGGUGCCCCGCAAGACGAAUGCCUCGCAAGACGAAAAACUCGCUAGACGAAAGGGUUUUUUGUUUUUUGAGCUGCUUCACAAGAUGAUUUUCCCUAUGGGCUUGCUUCGCAAGACGGAAACGUCUUGCAAGUUUGUUUCCUUGUUCUUAACACCGGUAAUAUAGUUGCGACUUGACUUCGAGGAGCAACUCAUAGAACGCGGUGUGGUAGCCUUUUUUUGAGGUUUUUAAAGACUUUGGUGAUUUUUGAAGCUUUUCCAAAACUUUCCCGACACCGUGCUUCGCAAGACGAAAAAAACCGCAAGACGACAAAACUCGCGGAACGAAUUAAUUUCGUCUUGCGAGGCACCACUGUAAUAUGGUUUGGAAGGUAACUGUUUGGGGCAUAAGGAUUAGACUAUAGAAUCAUAGGUUUUGUAGCUGGCAACAUUUUUCUUGAACACGUUUUGAAAAUCUUUUGUGCACCAUUUAUAUAAUGAAAGUUUGAAACUUUGCCAUGACCAUAUAUUUGGAGGUACUUUGAAAACCUCAGUCUCUGGUUUAGUUUAAAAAUAUGAAUAUUUAAAUCUAGCUCCUCCCUCCCCAGUAAAAAGGCUCCAUUAUUUGACAGCCUUGAUUCAGCAAUGGUUUAUUUCACUGAUGUGUAUGUGGUGUUUGGCACCUUAUUUAUGAACAUAAAUAGGGUUCUUUAGUUUACUUGAAAAAACCAAAACUAAAACUUCUGUUACACCUGCAUAGGAGACUUGAGCAAGUUGUAAAAAAGCUAAUUUGGCAGUCCUCUAGGAAGUAAGAGGCAAAACCAUCCUGUGCAAAGGUGUUAUGAAUGUGCUUUGUCAGUGUAAGGCUGGCUUUAAAAAAAAAAUUCAGUGUUUUAAAAGUUUAUUUUUUUUAAAAAAAGACUCCAAGAUUCUGAAUGCAAAAUCCAUUUUAGUGUGUGGAUGUACACGUAUGAGAGUUGGUGGAAUGUACUUUGUGUGCCUUCUGCUUUGCUUGAACCCAAGGACCCUUCUCUGUGCCAUCGGCCACCUCUUCCAUUCCAAAAGAGAGAGAGAGAGAGAGCUCCAUUUUGCACAUGGUUUGAUGGUACUGUUGGCGGCGACCGGCCAUGGAGCAUUUUUAAUUUUAAGCGUGAGUGUGGCAAUAAAUCUAUGCCUGCUAUGCUUGUUAAAAUAACCGCCUUGGCUUUAAAAGUAAUAUGAGGAUGGGUAUGAAGGUUGAAGGGAAGUGCUGAUGAGAUAGUGCAAGUCUGUGUGUGUGUGUGUGUGUGUGUGUGUGUGCACGCUCUCUCCGGUGUGUUUGCAGCAGCAUGGAGGGUUGCCUAGGCCUGAACAAUAGAGAGGUAGCUGCAGCUUGGGGAGUGGAGGACCUAGAGCAGAUGUAGAGCAGCCAGGCUAGAAUGUGGAAGGAGGUGGGGGAGGGCUUAUUUGCAUAACUGAUUGUUGCCCUGGGGAUUAAGCAGGGGGAAGGGAGGCAGUGGGAGUACAAAGAAAAACACAGAAGAUGAAGAAUAUUUCUCUCUCUUCCCUCUCUCUUUCUCGCUCUCUCUCUCUCCCCCUCCCCCAUUUCCCUUUACAAGUGCUCUGUCAGUUCUCCUGUUGGGUGCUGGCUGUUGCCCACGCAGCUCACUCAUGCCAUCCUGCUGACAUACACUUCUGCUGGGUGCAUCGCCCGGUUGUAUUCCAUUCUUUUUCUUUCUCUCUUCCCCCCUUCUUUCCUCGCAAGAGAGGCAGGAGGGAGGUGCACGAUGAAGAGAUGGAGAGGUGGAGGCCCAGCAUCGCCAAGGGAUGGGUGUGUUUUUUUAUUUUAAAAAAAAAACAGCUCCUGAUGCCUGCUGUAAAGGCAAUGACUCGGCAGCCUGUAAUGUUAAGAUAAAGUCCAAAGGAAGACCUCUGGCUGUGUCAUGAGCGAACUCUCUAUGCACCCUGCAAUAUUUGAUCUUGUGCAUUGAAAAUUAGCUAGGCUUUUUUCUGUCAACUCUCUUUCUUGCUUUUCACUUUUCUUGCUGUGCCUCUUUUUAAUUGCGCGCGUGCAUGUGUUUUUGUAAAACUGUUUGCGUUUUGGUUGAAUGUAGACGUUUCUAAUUUAUAAAGAGUUACUGCUUUCUGCCCUCACGCCUUGGAGCAAAGUAUAUAUAUCUUUAAACUACCACUGUCUUGCCUGCUAUGCUUGUAUGUGAAUCCUGCCUCACGGGGGUGCAAAAGCAAGCUCUAUCAUCCGGCUCCUU